AUACGUAGGGGGCGAGCGUUGUCCGGAAUGAUUGGGCGUAAAGGGCGCGUAGGCGGCCCGGUAAGUCUGGAGUGAAAGUCCUGUUUUUAAGAUGGGAAUUGCUUUGGAUACUGUCGGGCUUGAGUGCAGGAGAGGUAAGUGGAAUUCCCAGUGUAGCGGUGAAAUGCGUAGAGAUUGGGAGGAACACCAGUGGCGAAGGCGAAUUACUGGACUGUAACUGACGCUGAGGAGCGAAAGUGUGGGGAGCAAACAGGAUUAGAUACCCUGGUAGUCCACACUGUAAACGAUGAAUGCUAGGUGUAGGGGGUAUCGACCCCUUCUGUGCCGCAGUCAACACAAUAAGCAUUCCGCCUGGGGAGUACGGCCGCAAGGUUGAAACUCAAAUGAAUUGACGGGG
rnacentral:rRNA from 1 species